rnacentral:rRNA from 1 species
ACAGAGGGUGCGAGCGUUAAUCGGAAUUACUGGGCGUAAAGCGCGCGUAGGCGGUUAGAUAAGUCAGAUGUGAAAUCCCCGGGCUCAACCUGGGAACUGCACCUGAUACUGUCUGACUAGAGUUUAGGAGAGGGAAGUAGAAUUUCAGGUGUAGCGGUGAAAUGCAUAGAUAUCUGAAGGAAUACCAGUGGCGAAGGCGACUUCCUGGCCUAAAACUGACGCUGAGGUGCGAAAGCGUGGGUAGCAAACGGG